CGGUGAUUAGCGCAGCUUGGUAGCGCACCUGGUUUGGGACCAGGGGGUCAGAGGUUCRAAUCCUCUAUCACCGACCA
rnacentral:tRNA from 1 species